rnacentral:misc_RNA from 1 species
CCUUAAAGAACCUGCCUUUAUAGUGCUCACACAGAUUGUCUGAUAAAUAAUAAAUUUCAAAAUGUACUGCGAAGUGCAUUGUGAAAUUUUGCUCUUUAAAAAUCUGGAUCAAGCUGAAAAUUGAAACGACACACAGUUAAUGUGUGUUCGAGUCUCUCAAAUUUUCGCAAUCAGAAGUGAAACAUCUUCGGGUUGUGAACUGAAACAUCUAAGUACC